UACGAAGGUCCCAAGCGUUGUUCGGAAUCACUGGGCGUAAAGGGAGCGUAGGCGGCGUGGUAAGUCAGAUGUGACAUCCCGGGGCUCAACCCCGGAACUGCAUCCGAUACUGCCAUGCUUGAGGGUUGGAGAGGUGACUGGAAUUAUCGGUGUAGCAGUGAAAUGCGUGGAUAUCGAUAGGAACACUCGUGGCGAAGGCGAGUCACUGGACAACAGCUGACGCUGAGGCGCGAAGGCUAGGGUAGCGAAAGGG
rnacentral:rRNA from 1 species